rnacentral:rRNA from 1 species
GAUGAACGCUGGCGGCGUGCCUAAUACAUGCAAGUCGAGCGAACGGACGAGAAGCUUGCUUCUCUGAUGUUAGCGGCGGACGGGUGAGUAACACGUGGAUAACCUACCUAUAAGACUGGGAUAACUUCGGGAAACCGUAGCUAAUACCGGAUAAUAUUUUGAACCGCAUGGUUCAAAAGUGAAAGACGGUCUUGCUGUCACUUAUAGAUGGAUCCGCGCUGCAUUAGCUAGUUGGUAAGGUAACGGCUUACCAAGGCAACGAUGCAUAGCCGACCUGAGAGGGUGAUCGGCCACACUGGAACUGAGACACGGUCCAGACUCCUACGGGAGGCAGCAGUAGGGAAUCUUCCGCAAUGGGCGAAAGCCUGACGGAGCCACGCCGCGUGAGUGAUGAAGGUCUUCGGAUCGUAAAACUCUGUUAUUAGUGAAGAACAUAUGUGUAAGUAACUGUGCACAUCUUGCCGGUACCUAAUCAGAAAGCCACGGCUCACUACGUG